rnacentral:rRNA from 1 species
UACGUAGGGUGCGAGCGUUGUCCGGAAUUACUGGGCGUAAAGAGCUCGUAGGCGUCUGUCGCGUCGGCUGUGAAACUCGGGCUCAACUCGAGCCUGCAGUCGAUACGGCAGACUAGAGUGCUGUAGGGAGACUGAAUCCUGGUGUAGCGGUGAAUGCGCAGAUAUCAGGAGGAACACCGGUGGCGAAGCGGUCUCUGGCAGUGAACUGACGCUGGAGGAGCGAAAGCGUGGGAGCGAACAGG